rnacentral:ncRNA from 2 species
UACCUUUGCUGUCCCAAAAGUUAUAUAUACCUGUAAUUGGUCAGGCGUUUCUACAAACUACCGUAAAUAGUGACUUAUAGCUUUGUUGAUUGAAGGA